UCAACUGUAUUUGUUCUGCCACUGUUUUGGUGGUCAAACCGAUGAAAAGCGAGGUUGUGCUUAGCUAUGAGCGGGUACGGCACGAUCCAUGAGUGCCAAGAAACUACUUAUCGACCGCCCAUUACCGGCCAAUACCGAAGAUAGUGCUGAACACACUUAGCGGGGUCCGAAACUGCAUUAACCAACCAAACCCACCAUUCUUGCCGGAGGACCCACUAGUUUAUAUCCACGGAUUUGAUCAAGACGCACUUCGAGAGUGGAUUAGUGGAUGAAGCUAGCGUCAUGUUCGACGGAAUGUCUCACAUGGGUUUGGUUGCUUGGACGGCCAUGAUUGCUUGCUAUACUUCAUGUGGUUACCAUGACGAAGCAUGGCUGUGCUCUCUGAGAUGGUUCGGAAAAAGAAGGAGCCAAACGAGUUUACUUUAUCCAGUGUCUUGAAGGCUUAAGGAAGUAGAUUUUCAAAUUAUCUAUGCAAUCUAUGUGGCAUCAGGAAGGAGCUGAACUGAACCCAUUUAGCAUCUCAAUUGCAGUUUGAGCUUGCGCCUCAAUUGGGUCAUAGAUUUUUGGCCUGCAACUCCAUGCAUAAAUUAUCAAACACAGGUUUGACUCCAACCUUCCUGUCAAAAACUCCAUAUUGGAUACUGCAGGUGCUUUUGCUUAUCUGGGACAAGUCAAUGUUUCCAUGAAAUGCACAAAAAAGAUGUAAUGACGUGGAACACCUCAAUAGCUGGAUAUGAAAGAUCAGAUUUUGGUGAGGUCCUUAUGUAAUUUAAAAUGGAGUCCCCUGGGUUUCAACUAAACUGCUUCACAUUUACAAUUGUUACAGCAGCCUGCAGUAGUUUAGGACUUAUGAAGUGUGAACAACAGAUUCAUGGAGUAAUCAUUCAGAAAGGACUUGAGGGUAGCAUUGGGCUUGCUAAUGCACUUAUUGAUAUGUAUGCCAUGUGUGGAAGCAUAAAUGAUUCGCACAGAAUGUUCCAUUCUAUGUCUCACAGAAACUUGCUCUCUUGGAGUUCUAUGAUGGUUGGAUAUGUGCCUCAUGGACAUGGAAGAGAGGCCAUUAAAUCGUUCUAUGACAUGGGCAGAUCCGGAGUAAGACUGGAUAAAAUUGUAUUUAUGGCAGUUCUGAGUGCUUGCAGCCAUGCAGAUCUUGUAAAUGAAGGGUUGAUGUACUUUGAAUUAAUGGGUGACUAUAAUGUUACCCCAAGCCAGGAGAUUUAUGGGUGCGUGACAGAUUUGCUUGGCCGUGCGGGGAGAGUGGAGGAGGCUUACCAACUGAUGGAGAGUAUGCCACUUAGACCUGAUGAGUCCUCCGUGGGGCUCCCUUCUUGGAGCUUGUACAGCACACGGACUUAAGAAUUUGGGAAAAUUGGUAGCUUGCAGGGUCCUGGACUUGAGACCAAGGUUGGCCAGGACCUACGCGACCCUAUCAGAUAUUUAUGCAGCUGAAGGUAUAUGGGGGGAGUUUGGAAACCAGAUUUAGCCUCAUUGCUGAAUACAAAAUGGUUUCUUGGGUACAUGAAAUUCUUGAAUUGCUAAUUUGGGACACCCAAAAAAAAAAAAAACAGGCAGGUCAUGUGCUUCACUAGAUAGUAAAGACUGGCCUAGCAAUAGAAAGGAUAAAAAGAAGAUAGUGUGGACAGAAGCAAAAAGAUAGAACAGCCUGAGAAUCAGAGACUUGAGACUGUCCAUAUGUGUCCGCAACUUUUGCAAAUCUGCCUAGAGCUGUCAAGGCAUUUAUCGAUGAUGCAGUUUUGAAAUUCACAAACAGCCCAAGAUGGUCAAUAUAGAUACAUUUGGCAUUAUACUCUUGACGUGAUUUUGGUAUAUCAAAGCUUCAAUUUUUGCAAGGCUUCAGGUCUAUCCAUAUUUUAUCUCCUUCAGCAAAAUUCUUUAGUGAAUUCAUCUUGUAACCUGAUAAUAAAUUAGUUCAAAAAGAAGCUGUGCAGUUCAAGCCCCAAUGUUUUCGUUCAUAUGCGAGGUGAAUAAGAGCGGUCUUUCAAUCUUGCGCACUGUGGCACCUCAUGACAAACUGUUUCUAUUGGCACCUCUACUCAGCUGGUGCAAUCUUUCUCAAUAAGAUCUUCCCUCAAGUUUACACUGUCCAGCGUCUCUGUAUACUAAGUUGAAGAGUCUAGCAUCAGUAGAGAAGCCAACGUCCGGUUAUGGCUGUGAAAGAUCCCGAUAUGGCCUGGAAGAACAGGAUCAGGAUGCAAUGGACACAGUCGGCCUUAUACAGGAUUUCAACCGUGAACUCAUCCUAGGCUCAAGCUCUUAUCUUCUCUACUCUUCCCAAUCGUGUCGUUACUCUGCUGAACAUGUUAUAUAUGCUUUUGGUCAGAAAAACUCCUACUAAAUAAAGCCGACCCCUGCUCACGUACUGAGGGGAUCGGUCUGAACGUUAUGAAUUGAGUUGAAUGUUGAACAAGCUAGUUGAAGUUGAAACAGGAUCGCGUACUAUAUGGGAAUAUUUUGCCAGAUGUUUGGAAUUA